rnacentral:rRNA from 1 species
AACAAACGCUGGCGGCGUGCCUAAUACAUGCAAGUCGAACGGGGAAAGCUUUCGGGUGAGUACUAGUGGCGCACGGGUGAGUAACGCGUGGAUAAUCUGCCUUAGAGUGGGGGAUAACUAGUCGAAAGAUUAGCUAAUACCGCAUAAGACCACAAGAACUGCGGUUCAAGGGGUCAAAGGUUUUUCGCUCUAAGAUGAGUCCGCGUAAGAUUAGCUAGUUGGUAGGGUAACGGCCUACCAAGGCGACGAUCUUUAACUGGUCUGAGAGGAUGAUCAGUCAAACUGGAACUGAGACACGGUCCAGACUCCUACGGGAGGCAGCAGUAGGGAAUAUUGCACAAUGGAGGAAACUCUGAUGCAGCGACGCCGCGUGAGUGAUGAAGGCCUUCGGGUCGUAAAGCUCUGUCGCAGGGGAAUAAUGGCUCACCACGGGUGGGCAUGAAGGUACCCUGAAAGUAAGCUCCGGCUAACUACGUGCCAG